GCUUAUAGCAUGUACGGGUUUACAAGAAAACGAGACACUUUCACCGCCUUCUGUGGACAAAUUUGAGUGUCAUGACAAUCGUGACAACUGGAGCAUUGUCAUCAGCGUCAUAUUUGAAGACGACGCUACAGAUGGCUUUCUUGUCAAUAUUGUUUCAGCAACUGGAGUAGGUGAACCAUCAAAUUAUUGCCGUUUAUUCGACAGGCAACAGAUCACACGAACAUUGGAAGUUCCGUCUUUAUCAGAGAAGGAAAUCUAUGUCAUUCAUGUCUAUGGCACAAGUGGAAACCGUUCUAAGAGCUACGAUGUAUUCAAGAAAAUAAUUCGUUUCAGUGACUGUCGACCACGUAAGCUAUUGCAAUAUGUA